GGGUAUCAGAGGACCAUCACUAGUCAGCACGUCUGGUAGCAUCACUGACUGCUGUUGAUCUUGUUUUUGGAGUAAAACACGGUGGAAGCUGAAUUAGUGAGGAUGACUCCUGCUCCUGUCAUCUCUAAGCUCCUCACACUUCUUUACCUGCACAUGAGGAAAAUCACUCCUGUAGAAUGCAGAUGUUCAGAGGGAGAUGAUGCCACAUCUGGUCCAGCUGAUGGAAAGUCUUGAAGUUCUCUGACUGGCCUCGACUGAAGAUGGUCGUCUCACUGGAUUUAAGGUUCAGAUGCUCAGUAACAAACUCCACCAAUGAGCCAACAGGGAAGCUUUAGGUUUAUUACAUGUUGCUAUGAAGGUAUCGCUGUUUUUCUUUGUGAAUGCAAUGUGCUCCAACUGAAACUUGAAUUAGAACUUAGAAGUAAAUCCUUCCAUCUGAAAGGAUUUAGUUGCAUUAAUAACUUCAUAACAUUCUAAUUUUUAUUCCAGUCUUGGUUGAAAAUAGAAUCUCUGUAUUGAUUCAGGUAAAAACUGAACUUCACAGCAUGUUGAAGCAAAACAACCAGAUGAAAACUGUGAUGGUGUUGGAUUGUCAGACCGUAAUGUUGCAGCUCAAAGCAGCUUUUCUAGCUCAGUUCAUUCUGACAUUCAGCUAUGAAUCAACACAGUAGAUGGUGAUCCAUGCUGUGGAAGUCUCACAUCUCCUGAUUUAAUGGAGCUGCUUUGCACUUUUUACACUGUUUAUUCACCAACACUUUAUUUAAUAAAAGUCCCAUCUAGUUUUUAUGAGGAAUGUGAUGUUUUAAUUUCUCUGUGAAUAACUGCAGUCUAAUGCAACAGCUGGAGUUGUAACAUCUGUCCUGAUAUUGAUCAUGAAGUAUUGAUCACAAUACUUAUGGUCAGCAGUCAUCCCUGAAAUUUUACAUUAAAAUCUUUACUUCUGUUAUGAACUUUGGUAAGAAGCAGAAACGUUAGCGUUGCCAAGGAUAUAUGAGUGUUAAAUUCUGUCCAUGUUUCCAUUGUGGGAAAUUCAGUCCAGCAGAUGAGUUUGUUUUUACUCCCAGCUACCAUUCAGUCUGAGAUAUUAAGAAUAAAUUAAUGUGUAUAAUGUGGAAAUGAACAGAUUUUGUUUUUAUUUAUUCCUACAGCUGCUCCAGGGAAUGUUCUAGAAUGUGGAGGAAUUUAGUCUCACAAUCACAGACAAUAAAUAUUAUCUGAAAGUCGGGUUAUUGUUUAUCAGCGCUAUACAAAAAGAUUAAUGUUAGAAAUAUUCCAGUUAAGACUCUAGAAUAUCAUGAUUUAUGUAAAUUUACCUCAACAAUAUCAGGCAUGGCAAUUUUCCGCCGUUCCGCGGAAAUCCGCCGUUUUAAUUGUCAAAUUGAUCAUUUCUGU